ACUAAAACUCGUACCUUUUGCAUCAUGAUUUAGCCAGUACUAUUUAAGCAAAGAGUCCUUUAGUUUAAACCCCCGAAACCAAGUGAGCUACCCCGAGACAGCCUAUAUGGGCCAACCCGUCUCUGUGGCAAAAGAGUGGGAAGAGCUCUGGGUAGAGGUGACAGAUCUACCGAACUUGGUGAUAGCUGGUUGCCUGAGAAAUGAAUAAAAGUUCAGCCUCGUUUUCCUUUAAUUAAACAUAAAUUAAAUAGAUUAAAUAACUAAAAAAAGAGAAAAAUACGAGAGUUAGUUAAAAGGGGUACAGCCCCUUUAACCAAGGAUACAACCUUGCCCAGGAGGAUAAGGAUCAUAUUUUACAAAACUAGUCGUUUUAGUGGGCCUAAAAGCAGCCAUCUAAGCAGAAAGCGUUAAAGCUCAAACGACCAAACAUUAAUUAUACUGAUAAACAAUCCUAUUCCCCUAAAACUACUAGGCCGUCCCAUGCUAACAUGGGAGAGACCAUGCUAAAAUGAGUAACAAGAAGACACACUCUUCUCCAAGCACAAGUGUAAACCAGAUCGGACAAACCACUGGCAAUUAACGAACCCAAAAAAAGAGGGUAAUGUGAAUAACAAAAAAUACAAGAAAAAUCCACAAAUAAUAAUCGUUAAACCCACACUGGAGUGCUAUCACGGAAAGACUAAAAGAAAAGGAAGGAACUCGGCAAACACAAGCCUCGCCUGUUUACCAAAAACAUCGCCUCCUGCAAAUCCCCAAGUAUAGGAGGUCCAGCCUGCCCAGUGACUAUGGGUUCAACGGCCGCGGUAUUUUGACCGUGCAAAGGUAGCGAAAUCACUUGUCUUUUAAAUAAAGACCUGUAUGAAAGGUUAAACGAGGGCUUAGCUGUCUCCCUUUUUAAGUCAGUGAAAUUGAUCUGCCCGUGCAGAAGCGGGCAUAUACAUACAAGACGAGAAGACCCUUUGGAGCUUAAGGUACAAACCCAUCCACGUUAAACAACUACUUUAAAAGCAUGAACUUAAUGGAAAUUGAAGUUUUACCUUCGGUUGGGGCGACCACGGAGAAUAAUUAAUCCUCCAAGCGGACUGGGACUAUAAACCUAAAACCAAGAAAGACAUUUCUAAGUCACAGAAAAUCUGACCAAUAAUGAUCCGGUUGUUAAAACCGAUCAACGAACCAAGUUACCCUAGGGAUAACAGCGCAAUCCCCUCUAAGAGUCCAUUCGACGAGGGGGUUUACGACCUCGAUGU
rnacentral:rRNA from 1 species